rnacentral:rRNA from 1 species
GGCGAAAGGGUGAGUAACACGUGAGUAAUCUGCCUCUAACUCGGGGAUAGCCUUUGGGAACGAAGAUUAAUACCGGAUGUGACUGUUUUUCCGCAUGGUUAAACAGUUAAAAUUUUUUGGUUAGAGAUGGGCUCGCGUCCCAUUAGUUUGUUGGUAAGGUAACGGCUUACCAAGACUUUGACGGGUAGGUGGUCUGAGAGGAUGGUCACCCACACUGGAACUGAGACACUGUCCAGACUCCUACGGGAGGCUGCAGUCGAGAAUCUUCCGCAAUGGACGAAAGUCUGACGGAGCAAUGCCGCGUGAUUGAUGAAGGCCUUCGGGUUGUAAAAAUCUGUCACCUAGGACGAAAUUUGACGGUACUAGGAGAGGAAGUGACGGCUAACUACGUGCCAGCAGCCGCGGUAAUACGUAGGUCACGAGCGUUAAUCGGAUUUAUUGGGCGUAAAGGGUCC